CCUACGGGUGGCUGCAGUGGGGAAUAUUGGACAAUGGGCGCAAGCCUGAUCCAGCCAUGCCGCGUGAGUGAUGAAGGUCUUCGGAUCGUAAAGCUCUGUGGGAAGGGAAGAAAAAAGUAUACCUCAUACGUAUGCUCUUGACGGUACCUUCUUAGCAAGCACCGGCUAACUCUGUGCCAGCAGCCGCGGUAAUACAGAGGGUGCAAACUUGGCCGUGAAUUGUUGGGCGUAAAGCGCACGUAGCCGAUCUGAAAGCCCUCGGCUUAACCGAGGAAGUGCAUCCGAAACUGCCAGGCGUGAGUAUGGAAGAGGGUCUCGGAAUUCCCGGUGUAGAGGUGAAAUUCGUAGAUAUCGGGAGGAACACCAGUGGCGAAGGCGGAGACCUGGGCCAAUACUGACGCUGAGGUGCGAAAGCGUGGGGAGCAAACAGGAUUAGAUACCCCAGUAGUC
rnacentral:rRNA from 1 species